rnacentral:rRNA from 1 species
AGAACGAACGCUGGCGGCAUGCCUAAUACAUGCAAGUCGAACGAACUCUUCGGAGUUAGUGGCGCACGGGUGCGUAACGCGUGGGAAUCUGCCCCUUGGUUCGGAAUAACAGUUGGAACGACUGCUAAUACCGGAUGAUGACGAAAGUACCAAAGA